GACGAACGCUGGCGGCGCGCUUAACACAUGCAAGUCGAACGGAAAGGCCUGCUUUCCCUUGUGGAUUGCGGGUACUCGAGUGGCGAACGGGUGAGUAACACGUGAGUGAUCUGCCCCCAACUUGGGUAUAAGCCUGGGAAACUGGGUCUAAUUCCCGAUAGGACUGCAGGGUGGUGCCUGUGGUGGAAAACGAUUUUCUAGUGGUUGGGGAUGAGCUCGCGGCCUAUCAGCUUGUUGGUGGGGUAAUGGCCUACCGAGGCGGCGACGGGUAGCCGGCCUGGGGUGGGGGACGGCCAAAUUGGGACUGGGAUCGGGCCAGGACACCGAGGGGGGGGAGGAGGGGGGAAUAUUGGAAAAGGGGGGGAAGCCGGAGGCAGGGGCGCGGGGUGGGGGAGGAAGGCCUGGGGGGUGAAAACUCCUUUGGACCGGGGGGAAGCCACCUGGUUGGAAGGGGGGGGACGGUGGGGGUAAAAGAAGCCCCGGCUAACUACGU
rnacentral:rRNA from 1 species